UACGGGAGGCAGCAGUGAGGAAUAUUGGUCAAUGGUCGAGAGACUGAACCAGCCAAGUAGCGUGCAGGAUGACGGCCCUAUGGGUUGUAAACUGCUUUUAUGCGGGGAUAAAGUGAGGGACGCGUCCCUUUUUGUAGGUACCGCAUGAAUAAGGACCGGCUAAUUCCGUGCCAGCAGCCGCGGUAAU
rnacentral:rRNA from 1 species